AUUGAACGCUGGCGGCGUGCCUAAUACAUGCAAGUCGAACGGAGUGGCGCACGGGUGAGUAAUAUAUAGCUAAUCUGCCCCUUGCUGGAGGACAACAGUUAGAAAUGACUGCUAAUACUCCAUAGCAAGGGAUGAGACGAUAACGUAUCAGCUAGUCGGUGGGGUAACGGCCUACCGAGGCUAUGACGCGUAACUGUUCUGAGAGGAUGAUCAGUCAAAUUUGAACUGAGACACGGGCCAAACUCCUAGGGGAGGCAGCAGAAGGGAAGAGUGCGCAAGGGGGGAAACCCGGAAGGAGCAACGCCGCGUGGAGUAUGACAAUUUGCGGGGCGGAAACUCAUUUUGAUAGGGAAGCGGUACCUAACGAAUAAGCACCGGCUAACUCCGUGCCAGCAGCCGCGGUAAUUC
rnacentral:rRNA from 1 species